rnacentral:rRNA from 1 species
GGCGGACGGGUGAGUAACACGUGGGCAACCUGCCUGUAAGACUGGGAUAACUUCGGGAAACCGGAGCUAAUACCGGAUAAUCCUUUUCCUCUCAUGAGGAAAAGCUGAAAGACGGUUUACGCUGUCACUUACAGAUGGGCCCGCGGCGCAUUAGCUAGUUGGUGAGGUAACGGCUCACCAAGGCGACGAUGCGUAGCCGACCUGAGAGGGUGAUCGGCCACACUGGGACUGAGACACGGCCCAGACUCCUACGGGAGGCAGCAGUAGGGAAUCUUCCGCAAUGGACGAAAGUCUGACGGAGCAACGCCGCGUGAGUGAUGAAGGUUUUCGGAUCGUAAAACUCUGUUGUUAGGGAAGAACAAGUACAAGAGUAACUGCUUGUACCUUGACGGUACCUAACCAGAAAGCCACGGCUAACUACGUGCCAGCAGCCGCGGUAAUACGUAGGUGGCAAGCGUUGUCCGGAAUUAUUGGGCGUAAAGCGCGCGCAGGCGGUCCUUUAAGUCUGAUGUGAAAGCCCACGGCUCAACCGUGGAGGGUCAUUGGAAACUGGGGGACUUGAGUGCAGAAGAGAAGAGUGGAAUUCCACGUGUAGCGGUGAAAUGCGUAGAGAUGUGGAGGAACACCAGUGGCGAAGGCGACUCUUUGGUCUGUAACUGACGCUGAGGCGCGAAAGCG